rnacentral:tRNA from 1 species
GACUUAAAAAAUCCGUCNACUUUAGAAAUCGUGAGGGUUCAAGUCCCUCUAUCCCCN